rnacentral:rRNA from 1 species
GAUGAACGCUGGCGGCGUGCCUAAUACAUGCAAGUCGAGCGAACGGACGAGAAGCUUUCUUCUCUGAUGUUAGCGGCGGACGGGUGAGUAACACGUGGAUAACCUACCUAUAAGACUGGGAUAACUUCGGGAAACCGGAGCUAAUACCGGAUAAUAUUUUGAACCGCAUGGUUCUAAAGUGAAAGACGGUCUUGCUGUCACUUAUAGAUGGAUCCGCGCUGCAUUAGCUAGUUGGUAAGGUAACGGCUUACCAAGGCAACGAUGCAUAGCCGACCUGAGAGGGUGAUCGGCCACACUGGAACUGAGACACGGUCCAGACUCCUAAGGGAGGCAGCAGUAGGGAAUCUUCCGCAAUGGGCGAAAGCCUGACGGAGCAACGCCGCGUGAGUGAUGAAGGUCUUCGGAUCGUAAAACUCUGUUAUUAGGGAAGAACAGAUGUGUAAGUAACUGUGCACAGCUUGACGGUACCUAAUCAGAAAGCCACGGCUAACUACGUG